rnacentral:rRNA from 1 species
AGCUCCAAUAGCGUAUAUUAAAGUUGUUGCAGUUAAAAAGCUCGUAGUUGAAUUUCUGGCUAGCUAUAUGCUGCGGCUCUGCCCGGUAUAUGGUUUAGUCAUCCGUAAGGGAAGCCAGUUCGGCCUUCACUGGUCGGCUGGGGGAACUUACAAUUUACUGUGAGAAAAUUAGAGUGUUUAAGGCAGGCAAUCGCUUGGAUACUCCAGCACGGAAUAAUGGAAUAGGACUUUAGUCGAUUUGUUGGUUUGAGGCUAAAGUAAUGAUUAAUAGGGACAGUUGGGGGCAUUCGUAUUUAAUUGUCAGAGGUGAAAUUCUUGGAUUUAUUAAAGACGAACUUAUGCGAAAGCAUUUGCCAAGGAUGUUUUCA